rnacentral:tRNA from 1 species
AGUGAGAUAGUUAAGUGGUAUAACAAUAGAAUCAUAAUCUAUCAAUCAUAGGUUCAAAUCCUAUUCUCAUUA